AUGUUUGCUGUCUCACAAACAAGGAGACUGCCUAAUCUGUCCACUGCCUGGCGAACAAGCAAACCGCUUCAUCUCUUCGCUGCCUGGCAACAAGCAAACUGCUGCGUUUCUUCCCUGCCUCGCAGAAUGAGGAACCACUGUAGAUGUUCGCUGUCUCACAAACAAGGAGACUGCCUAAUCUGUUCGCUGCCUGGCGAACAAGCAGACCGCUGCGUCUCUUCGCUGCCUGGCGAACAAGCAGACCGCUGUGUCUCUUCGCUGCCUCGCAGAAUGUGGAACCACUGUGGAUGUUCGCUGUCUCACAAACAAGGAGACUGCCUAAUCUGUGCACUGCCUGGCGAACAAGCAAACCGCUUCGUCUCUUCGCUGCCUGGAGAGGAAGCAGACCACUGGUUCUCUUCGCUCUCUCGCAAAAGAGCACAUCACUGCAUCUAUUCGCCUACUCACAAAACAGCACACGACCGUGGCUCUUCCCUACCUCGCAAACAAGCAAGCUGCUCUAUGUGUUCGCUGCCUCGCCAACUAACUAACUGCUGCGUCUCUUYGCUCCCUCGCAAACUAACUGACCUCAGYGUCUCUUYGCUGCCUCGCACACUAACUUACGACUACGUCUGUGCCUUGCCUUGCAAACUAAGGAACCGCUGCGUCUCUUCCCCUCCUCGCCAACAAGCAACCCGCUGUGUCUCUUGGCUGCCGCGUGCUAAAGCAAACCAUGGCGCCGCUACGCCACCUCGCCGACUCCUCAACGACUGCGUCUCUUCGCCGCCUCGCAGACAAGCAAGCCCUUGUGUCUCUUUGCCGCCUCGCGCACUAACUAACCGCUGCGUCUCUUUGAUGCCUGCCAAAAGAAGGAAGUGCUGCAUCUCUUCCCGCCUCGCCAACAAGCAGUCCGCUGCCCCUAUUGGAGGCGUUGCAAACAAGCAGUGGGCAGAAUCUCUUCACCACUUCGCCAACAAGCGGACUGCAGAGUCGCUUCGCCGCCUGGCCAACAAGCACACCGCUGCAUGUCUUCGCUGCCUCGCCAACUAGCGAAGUGCUGCCUGGCUUCACUUCCAGGCGAAAAAGCAAUCCGUGAUGCCACUGCACCACCUGGUGGACAAGCAAAGCACUGCGUCUCUUCGCUGUAAUGCAGAAUGAGGAACCACUGUGGAUGUUCGCUGUCUCACAAAUAAGGAGACUGCCUAAUCGGUUCGCUGCCUGGCCAACAAGCACACCACUGCAUGUCUUCGCUGCCUGGCAGAAUGAGUGACCACUGUGGAUGUUCGCUGUCUCACAAACAAGGAGACUGCCUAAUCUGUUCACUGCCUGGCAAACAAGCAAACCACUGCCUCUGUUUGCUGCCUGGCGAACAAGCAAACCACUGCGUCUCUUCGCUGCCUGGCGAACAAGCAAACCGCUGCGUCUCUUCUCUGCCUGGCCAACAAGCAGACCACUGCAUCUGUUCCCAGCCUGGCAAACAAGCAAACCGCUGCGUCUCUUGUCUGCCUCGCAGAAUGAGUGACCACUGUGGAUGUUCGCUGUCUCAGAAACAAGGAGACUGCCUAAUCGGUUCGCUGCUGGGCAAACAAGCAAACCACUGCAUGUGUCCGAUGCCUCGCCAACAAGCAGACCACUGUGUCUCUUGGCUUCCACUUGCUUCUAGGCACAUGUGAAAAUGAAACACCGGCACUUAGGAGGGUGCCGAGCAGCCUCAUAGAGGGCCAUUGCUAGCCACUGGUCUCUGUCUCUCUGCUGCUUCUUUCGCUCCUGGGAAAGAAGGAAAAGAUCCUCCCCUCACCUCUCGUUGUGCCAGCAGCGCAAGGAGCAGCCCCAGCCCUUGGGGCUUUGCAGCUCGCCUCUGCAAUUGCUCUGCGCAGGUGCUGCCCAGGCACAGGAGCGAGAGCGAGGGCCUCUCCCCGGGGCAGCCCGGCACCAGCGCAGGACCAAGUUCAGCUGCCACGGAGACAUGCAGCGGCUGCUGCCUCCCGCCCUCCCCAGCAGCCUGAAAAGCCUUUGGCGCAAGGAGAACUAGAUGGUCUCUCACGCGCGC
rnacentral:lncRNA from 1 species